GAUGAACGCUGGCGGCGUGCCUAAUACAUGCAAGUCGAGCGAACGGACGAGAAGCUUGCUUCUCUGAUGUUAGUGGCGGACGGGUGAGUAACACGUGGGUAACCUACCUAUAAGACUGGGAUAACUUCGGGAAACCGUAGCUAAUACCGCAUAAUAUUUUGAACCGCAUGUUUUAAAAUUGAAAGACGGUAUUGCUGUCACUUAUAGAUGGAUCCGCGCUGCAUUAGCUAUUUGGUAAGGUAACGGCUUACCAAGGCAACGAUGCAUAGCCGACCUGAGAGGGUGAUCGGCAACACUGGAACUGAGACACGGUCCAGACUCCUACGGGAGGCAGCAGUAGGGAAUCUUGCGCAAUGGGCGAAAGCCUGACGGAGCAACGCCGCGUGAGUGAUGAAGGUCUUCGGAUCGUAAAACUCUGUGAUUAGGGAAGAACAUAUGUGUAAGUAACUGUGCACAUCUUGACGGUACCUAAUCAGAAAGCCACGGCUAACUACGUG
rnacentral:rRNA from 1 species